rnacentral:rRNA from 1 species
CUACGGGCCGCAGCAGUGGGGAAUCUUAGACAAUGGGCGCAAGCCUGAUCUAGCCAUGCCGCGUGAGUGAUGAAGGCCCUAGGGUCGUAAAGCUCUUUCGCCAGGGAUGAUAAUGACAGUACCUGGUAAAGAAACCCCGGCUAACUCCGUGCCAGCAGCCGCGGUAAUACGGAGGGGGUUAGCGUUGUUCGGAAUUACUGGGCGUAAAGCGCGCGUAGGCGGACCAGAAAGUUGGGGGUGAAAUCCCGGGGCUCAACCCCGGAACGGCCUCCAAAACUCCUGGUCUUGAGUUCGAGAGAGGUGAGUGGAAUUCCGAGUGUAGAGGUGAAAUUCGUAGAUAUUCGGAGGAACACCAGUGGCGAAGGCGGCUCACUGGCUCGAUACUGACGCUGAGGUGCGAAAGUGUGGGGAGCAAACAGGAUUAGAUACCCGCGUAGUC